rnacentral:ribozyme from 1 species
UUUAAGUAGUGCUCUACAAUGGGAAAGUACCCGAAGCCCCUCUGAGGAGUAACACAAGCUCUCAUAUCCAACUCCUAUCGGGACACUUCCCAGUUCGUACAGAGUGGUAACAUUGGUCACCGAAUAUCCAAGCUUGAAUAUACGGACUUGUUAAACCUAUUGUGCGGCAGAUGUCGCAUGAAUAAUCAGUAGGGG